rnacentral:RNase_P_RNA from 1 species
CGAGCGGGACGGGCGGUCGCCGCGGCUUGUUCGCAAGCCGGGGAGGAAAGUCCGAACGCCACAGGGCAGGGCGCUUCCUAACGGGAAGGCGGAGCGAUCCGACGGACAGCGCAACAGAAAACACACCGCCGAUGGCCCUCCGCAAGGGGGGAUCAGGCAAGGGUGAAAUGGCGAGGUAAGAGCUCACCGGCGCCGUGGCGACACGGCGGCCUGGCAAACCCCGCCCGGCGCAAGACCAAAUAGGGAAGGAUGCGGCGGCCCGCCGCGAGGGCCUUCGCUCCCUGGCUUCGGCCCGGGGCGCAGGCCGAGACUUCCGGGUAGGUUGCUUGAGCGGAUGGGCGACCAUCCGCCUAGAGGAAUGACCGCCGCCCGUCAUCGGCUUCGGCCAAAGGCGGGAACAGGAUUCGGCUUACAGUCCCACUCGCCCA